rnacentral:rRNA from 1 species
AGUGGCGGACGGGUGAGUAACGCGUAAGAAUCUAACUUCAGGACGGGGACAACAGUGGGAAACGACUGCUAAUACCCGAUGUGCCGCGAGGUGAAACCUAAUUGGCCUGAAGAAGAGCUUGCGUCUGAUUAGCUAGUUGGUGGGGUAAGAGCCUACCAAGGCGACGAUCAGUAGCUGGUCUGAGAGGAUGAGCAGCCACACUGGGACUGAGACACGGCCCAGACUCCUACGGGAGGCAGCAGUGGGGAAUUUUCCGCAAUGGGCGAAAGCCUGACGGAGCAACGCCGCGUGAGGGAGGAAGGUCUUUGGAUUGUAAACCUCUUUUCUCAAGGAAGAAGUUCUGACGGUACUUGAGGAAUCGGCCUCGGCUAACUCCGUGCCAGCAGCCGCGGUAAUACGGGGGAGGCAAGCGUUAUCCGGAAUUAUUGGGCGUAAAGCGUCCGCAGGUGGUCAGCCAAGUCUGCCGUCAAAUCAGGUUGCUUAACGACCUAAAGGCGGUGGAAACUGGCAGACUAGAGAGCAGUAGGGGUAGCAGGAAUUCCCAGUGUAGCGGUGAAAUGCGUAGAGAUUGGGAAGAACAUCGGUGGCGAAAGCGUGCUACUGGGCUGUAUCUGACACUCAGGGACGAAAGCUAGGGGAGCGAAAGGGAUUAGAUACCCCUGUAGUCCUAGCCGUAAACGAUGGAUACUAGGCGUGGCUU